rnacentral:lncRNA from 1 species
CCGCGUCUAUGUUGUGCGUAACCCAACUUCUCGGGGCUUCGGUUUCCUUACCUCACAAUGGAAAGGUAUCGCUCAGGAUUCCAUCAGCACACUGCGGGAACUGACCUGGUUGGAUUAAGGAACUUUCAGAAGGACUUUAAGUAAUACUGGAUAACUCACAGAAGUCCGGAGAAAGCCACAGUCCAGGUCUGGGACUUCUGCGCCAAGAACACCAAAAAUCACACAGCAAAAUGAAACCACGCCAGAUUCAGGCUCCGGAAUGAGCCAGUCUGACUAGGGAAGAUGCGGAUAAAGCAGCGGAUGAGAACAUUUGGCGGUGACGGCUCCAUGGUGAGGGCUGGCCUCUGCUCCGGGAAUGGCAGAGUCGGCUAGGAGGGCCGGGGCCUCACUGCCCCGAAUGUCCGCCCCAGUGGCCCUCGGUAAUUGUUGCAUGUCCGCCAACAAGCACGUGAGAUGACUGUAGGUGGAAUGUACACGAAGCCGUGCUAUCGUUGCUGGGAAAGUACACACAAGGUACGCAGUGUGUCAAGCUUGUCUUUUGUGUAGAAGCUUCAGAUCUACUGCUUUUAUGCAAAAGAUUUGUGCACAGAAUGCAACAAUUAAAAGAAGAAUCUUGAUCAUCUCACCAGGGCUGAGGUUUCUGCAGAGAAAUCUUCCCUCCUGAAGUACUCCCACCCCGUUUUUCCUCAAGAUUUACCAGAGGAAGCUAAAAGAAUUCUGGAAGUCCCUUCUUAACAAAGCCUGGCUUCCAAGACUUCUGUCUUGCUCAGACUCAAAAAUACUAUAUUGUUUUUAAAAGCGG